rnacentral:misc_RNA from 1 species
AAAAUAAUAUUUUUAUAUGAUAAAUUAAAUAAUUAAUUAAUUGUAAAUAUUUAUAAAAAUAUUUAAAUAAAUCUAAAAUAAAUGAAGAUGUAAAAUUUUAAACUGACUAUAAAGUUAAGGGAUGACUAUGAUGAACCUAUUUAAGUUGAGGGACGAUGAGUGAAACUUAGCAAUAAGUUAAUCUAGAAACUUGUAAUAGCAGGUUACAUGGAUUUUAGUGAUACUCAUUGAAAUUCGAUGAUUUUUACGAUUCAAAUUAAAGUUGAAGGACAAUGCUGAUACAACCACCUUAAUUGAGGGACUAUGAGUGAAAUUAACCUGAGCACUGGAGGUGACAAUUUGUGGCCUAACUGGCAAUUUUGAUUGAAAUAUACCUGAAAUUUGAGGGUCAAAGUCAAACCCACCCUGUAUUGUGUCAAAAUAACCCAAAUCCAAAAUACCAAAAAAGGGUAUGACCAAACUGAACCUGACUUGCCCGAAAUAAUUAAAUUGUAAACUAAAAAUUGAAAAGGAAAACCACAAAAUUGAGAAAUAAAGAAAAACUGGUGCGAAAAGCAUGCAUAUUUUUUUUUUUCAAUUUGCAAUGUAUAUUUACAAUAGUCUUUAAAGUUAAACAUUUUUCAUAGAAAUUAUUAUAAAACAAUUAUCACUAAUUGUAGUAAGGUUUUCAAAAUAAAUAAUUUAAUUUUUAAAAUGUAUUUAUACAUUAUUCUAUUUACAACUUAAGGCUUUUCGGUAAGUAUUCGACCCGAUUUUGGCUCAUAUGUGCUCACCUCACAAACAAGUCAUUUAUGGACGAGGGCAUGUGUAUCUCAGUUUAACUUGUUUAACAAAUUGGUGAAACCACAGCCUAAAUUUAAAGCUUGUUUCAUAAAUGGAAAAAGAUCAGCUAUGCUCCUCAUUUAACCCUACUACCAAGAGUUUAAUAUAAAGCUGAGUUAUUUCUUUUUGCGAGGUUAGAAAACUGCAUGAAUUUUAAAUCUUCUCGUUUAUUUCUAUAAUUUUGAGCUUUCAGCUACCUUCCUUUUGAGUAUGUUAUUAGAUAGAGCACUAAAUAUUUAUAAUUCUACCCAGCUUGAUAAAU